GCCCCGAUAGCUCAGUGGUAGAGCACUUCCUUGGUAAGGAAGAGGUCGUGAGUCCGAUUCUCACUCGGGGCUCCC
rnacentral:tRNA from 1 species